CUGGCGGCGUGCCUAAUACAUGCAAGUCGAGCGGACAGAUGGGAGCUUGCUCCCUGAUGUUAGCGGCGGACGGGUGAGUAACACGUGGGUAACCUGCCUGUAAGACUGGGAUAACUCCGGGAAACCGGGGCUAAUACCGGAUGGUUGUUUGAACCGCAUGGUUCAAACAUAAAAGGUGGCUUCGGCUACCACUUACAGAUGGACCCGCGGCGCAUUAGCUAGUUGGUGAGGUAACGGCUCACCAAGGCAACGAUGCGUAGCCGACCUGAGAGGGUGAUCGGCCACACUGGGACUGAGACACGGCCCAGACUCCUACGGGAGGCAGCAGUAGGGAAUCUUCCGCAAUGGACGAAAGUCUGACGGAGCAACGCCGCGUGAGUGAUGAAGGUUUUCGGAUCGUAAAGCUCUGUUGUUAGGGAAGAACAAGUACCGUUCGAAUAGGGCGGUACCUUGACGGUACCUAACCAGAAAGCCACGGCUAACUACGUGCC
rnacentral:rRNA from 1 species